rnacentral:rRNA from 1 species
AUUGAACGCUGGCGGCAUGCCUUACACAUGCAAGUCGAACGGCAGCGGGGACUUCGGUCCGCCGGCGAGUGGCGAACGGGUGAGUAAUGUAUCGGAACGUACCAUUGAGUGGGGGAUAACGUAGCGAAAGUUACGCUAAUACCGCAUAUUCUCUCCGGAGGAAAGCAGGGGACCGCAAGGCCUUGCGCUCUUUGAGCGGCCGAUAUCAGAUUAGCUAGUUGGUGAGGUAAAAGCUCACCAAGGCGACGAUCUGUAGCGGGUCUGAGAGGAUGAUCCGCCAGACUGGGACUGAGACACGGCCCAGACUCCUACGGGAGGCAGCAGUGGGGAAUAUUGGACAAUGGGGGGAACCCUGAUCCAGCCAUGCCGCGUGUGUGAAGAAGGCCUUAUGGUUGUAAAGCACUUUAAGCGAGGAGGAGGCUCUUUUGGUUAAUACCCAAGAUGAGUGGACGUUACUCGCAGAAUAAGCACCGGCUAACUCUGUGCCAGCAGCCGCCGUAA